rnacentral:rRNA from 1 species
GACGGAGGAGGCAAACGUUGUCCGGAAUCACUGGGCGUAAAGCGCGUGUAGGUGGUUAGGUGCGUCCCCGAUGAAAGACCAACGCUCACCGUUGGAAACAUUUGGGAUACGGCCUGACUUGAGGAUGGUAGGGGUAAGCGGAACUUUCGGUGGAGGAGUAAUAUCCGUAGAGAUCGAAAGGAACACCAAUGGCGAAGGCAGCUUACUGGACCAUAUCUGACACUGAGACGCGAAAGCGUGGGGAGCGAACGGG